rnacentral:rRNA from 1 species
GGAUUAGAUACCCUGGUAGUCCACGCCGUAAACGAUGGAUACUAGCCGUUCGAGAAACUAAUCUCUUGAGUGGCGAAGCUAACGCAUUAAGUAUCCCGCCUGGGGAGUACACUGGCAACGGUGAAACUCAAAGGAAUUGACGGGGGCCCGCACAAGCGGUGGAGUAUGUGGUUUAAUUCGAAGCAACGCGCAGAACCUUACCUGGCCUUGACAUCCUGAGACAAUCUUAGAGAUAAGACUUUCACUUCGGUGACUCAGUGACAGAUGCUGCAUGGCUGUCGUCAGCUCGUGCCG